UACAGAGGGGCAAGCGUUGUUCGGAAUUACUGGGCGUAAAGGGCGCGUAGGCGGCCUGCUAAGUCGAACGUGAAAUCCCUGGGCUCAACCCAGGAACUGCGUCCGAUACUGGUUGGCUUGAAUCCGGGAGAGGGAUGUGGAAUUCCAGGUGUAGCGGUGAAAUGCGUAGAUAUCUGGAGGAACACCGGUGGCGAAGGCGGCAUCCUGGACCGGUAUUGACGCUGAGGAGCGAAAGCCAGGGGAGCAAACGGG
rnacentral:rRNA from 1 species